AUCAGGAGUUAAAACGUCCACCGGUGUGUUAUUCUUAAAAGAGGGCCUGAGAGCUUUGGAAGCCCAGCCAGGGCAGUACCCCUUCACAGAGAUUCCAGGCUAGCCUGGUGACUGAAGGCCUAAAGUUUGGAAUUCUCUUGGAGAAGCACUUUUGGAGUGGCUGGGAUGUCCAGGUGAUGGUUCCUGCCACUUCAGCAACAGGCUGUGACAAGAAGUGGAGAGCAAGAUGCCUUCUACCUGGGUACUGUGUUCUAGGAUUUUGCUGAUGCAGAGGAUGUCCCCUACCUGGUGUUGGUCAGAUCCUUGAAACUUCACAUGUUUCCUGCGUGAACCUGUGUGAGCAGCUGUCAAACUCCGGUGGAGAGGGGGUGGGCUGCCUAGAAAUUUGGGGACCAAAAUCAGUUAGGUGAUCUUUAUUAGAUUGCAAUAAAAUGUUUUAAAGCAAAUAAAAAUAGGUGGGUCUGAGUAAAAGCAAGAGGGUACAGAAAGAUUUAGGGAUGUGAAAGUGAAUGAGCAUCACAGUUGACAUCUAGCUGUACCUCUUUCCAGGUACAUUACAAAAAACUAAAAUUAGGUUUGUCACAUAUUGACACCAAUGUUGAGGAUUUCUAGAUGGAGUACCAUAUCAUUUUUAAUAUUUGAGGUUUUAAUUAUACUAUUAACACAAUCAUCCAGUUUUCUUCUUGAUGAAUUGGUGAAAACAUAGGUUGUCUGGAUAUAUUUUUAGAAGAAUAAUACUCCUGGUGGUUGUCAGGAGCUGGGAAUGAGGAAGUGAAGAAAUACUUAAUGGGUAUUGUUUCAGUUUUACAAGGUGAAAGAGUUCAUGGGGAUGGAUGGUGGUGAUAAUUGCUCAAUGUUAUGAACAUUGUUAUUACCACUGAACUGUAUGCCUAAAAGUGGUAAAGAUUUGGGGAGGGAUAAAUUGGAAGAUUGGAAUUGAUACAUACACACCACUAAGUAUAAAAUAGAUAACUAAUAAAGACCUGUAUAGCACAGGAAAUUCAGUCCUCUGUAAUAGCCUAUAAGAGAAGAGGAUCCCAAAGUGUUUGUAUGUAUAACUGACUCAGUUUACUGUGUACCUGAAACUAACAUUGUAAAUCAACUAUACCCCAAUAAAAUUUUUUUAAUGGUAAA